CAGAGAGGGUCUCUGCACUCAUAAGCUGGUCCUAUAUGCCAUCUAUUGGCGAAAACGUGCAACAGCAUAAUUAAACUAAAAGACAACUUCUGACAGGGCAACAAAAAGACAGGGAAUGAGAAUAAGGGAAUGAUAAGGGAAUAACAAAAAGACAAAAAUAGAGGGUUCACACUACACUUGCAUACAAACUGAUUGUGAUGCUGUCACUCAUUUUCUAGUCUAUAUCUUGGACUUAAAAACAUUAUUAUGUUUUCAGGUGUUUUGCCCCUGCAGCUGUGAAGAGGAUGCUGUGGAGGUGGCAACGUGAACGUGUCACACAGACAUUGGCUAAACUACUCGGCUUCUACACUUGCCCUCAGAGUUCACAUGGUGAAGUGCACAGGUGUCCAGCCAGGUCCAGACUGAUGAUGGUAACAAGAGGAAAACAUGCUGAUUGGCAAGUGAGAACCCUGCUCAACAAAAAUCCACACAGCAUAACAAGAAUGAUUCAACGAUGGACAUUGUGCUUAAUUGUGGAAAAAAAUAAAUGUCAAAACGUC